AAAUUGAAGAGUUUGAUCAUGGCUCAGAUUGAACGCUGGCGGCAGGCCUAACACAUGCAAGUCGAACGGUAACAGGAAGCGCUUGCUGCUUCGCUGACGAGUGGCGGACGGGUGAGUAAUGUCUGGGAAACUGCCUGAUGGAGGGGGAUAACUACUGGAAACGGUAGCUAAUACCGCAUAACGUCGCAAGACCAAAGAGGGGGACCUUCGGGCCUCUUGCCAUCGGAUGUGCCCAGAUGGGAUUAGCUUGUUGGUGGGGUAACGGCUCACCAAGGCGACGAUCCCUAGCUGGUCUGAGAGGAUGACCAGCCACACUGGAACUGAGACACGGUCCAGACUCCUACGGGAGGCAGCAGUGGGGAAUAUUGCACAAUGGGCGCAAGCCUGAUGCAGCCA
rnacentral:rRNA from 1 species